AAUUGGAGCAUUUUAUAAAUGUCUUUUAUAUGACGUUGCCCAGAAUUUGUGGCUUAAAAUUUAUUUGGAUUUAUCUUACUUGCAUUACUACUAACACUAGUAAAAAACAGGGUUGUAGUCCCGGAUGGUAAGGGCUUUUAGUCCCGAGUCACCAAUGAGGACAAAUAACUCCCCCUGGUCCCGGUUGGCCACGACCUGGGACUAAUGCCCUUCCAUGUGGCUGACAUCACGCGUCGGGAGGUGUGGACCUAUAGUCCCAGUUGGUUACACGAACCGGGACUAAAUGCUUUGGGGUUUUGGGGUUUUGGGGCUCUCGAGUUUAGGGAUUUAUUG
rnacentral:lncRNA from 1 species